UACGUAGGGGGCAAGCGUUGUCCGGAUUUAUUGGGCGUAAAGAGCGUGUGGGCGGCCAGGUAGGUGGGUUGUGAAAACUGGAGGCUCAACCUUCAGAGGUCGACCCAAACCCCCUGGCUAGAGUCCGGAAGAGGAGAGUGGAAUUCCUGGUGUAGCGGUGAAAUGCGCAGAUAUCAGGAAGAACACCCGUGGCGAAGGCGGCUCUCUGGGACGGUACUGACGCUGAGACGCGAAAGCGUGGGGAGCGAACAGG
rnacentral:rRNA from 1 species